CCCUUGCCCCCACUGCCGCCGUCCCCCCUUUGCCUUCACCGCCCAUGUCCCCUUGUUCCUUCGUCGAGCCCGCGUCCCUUCUGACUUUCUUCGCUCGUCGGGGACGCGACGCACACUGCAUCUUCGCCAUCCUUCUCACGUCGGGGACACACACGGCGUCGUCACCAUCCUCCUCGCGUCGGGGAAGGUGCCGCCGCCGCCGCUCCUCCGCGCGACCUGAGAUGCUGAGGCUGCCGUUCUCCUCCGCACAGCCAGGGACGACGCAAGCACCGACGCCCCCAUCCCCAGCUGCAUCAGUUCAGAGGAGAGAUUUGUAGGUGUAGUGAUGUAAGUACUGCAUGUAUAAGGGGAAAAUAACCUGCAAGACGAUGCAGUGAAAUAGAUGCAGGAUUCUUCUACUCAAACAUUAAGCGAGAAAAGAUGGUUUCUGCCGAAGGACGCCAAGUUGACGAACAUGUCAAGAAGAUCAUUGAAUUGAAAUAUAAGGUUCUGCAAAUUUCAUUCACAGAUCAGGAAAUUCUAAUCUGUGACUUGGUAAAUCUUAGAUCACGAAGAUAAAUUGAUAAUGCAUGGCUCACAUGUUGAUUGCAAGGUUAAGAAUGGGGCUACUACAAGAUACUUAGAAUUUCAUUUUUAGGAUCAAUGUUUCAGACAUCAUAGUUGAUUGCAAGGUCAUGAAUUCGGCUACAGAUAGAUAGUUUCACCUCUUGUAAUCCUUGGAUCACGUCCUUUGUAAUGCAACAUAGUCAAUUUAAUAUAUGAGAAGUUUCUGUUUGGCCUCCAA